rnacentral:rRNA from 1 species
AACGAACGCUGGCGGCAUGCCUAACACAUGCAAGUCGAACGAGACCUUCGGGUUUGCUGGCGCACGGGUGCGUAACCCGUUGGAUCCUGCCUUUAGGUUCGGCAUAACUCCCCGAAAGGGGUGCUAAUACCGGAUAAUGUCUUCGGACCAAAGAUUUAUCGCCUUUGGAUGGGCCCGCGUUGGAUUAGCUAGUUGGUAGGGUAAAAGCCUACCAAGGCUACGAUCCAUAGAUGGUCUGAGAGGAUGAUCAGCGACACUGGGACUGAGACACGGCCCAGACUCCUACGGGAGGCAGCAGUGGGGAAUAUUGGACAAUGGGCGAAAGCCUGAUCCAGCAAGGCCGCGUGAGUGAUGAAGGCCUUAGGGUUGUAAAGCUCUUUUACCCGGGAUGAUAAUGACAGUACCGGGAGAAUAAGCUCCGGCUAACUCCGUG